AUUGAACGCUGGCGGCAUGCCUUACACAUGCAAGUCGAACGGUAACAGGUCUUCGGAUGCUGACGAGUGGCGAACGGGUGAGUAAUACAUCGGAACGUGCCCAGACGUGGGGGAUAACGAGGCGAAAGCUUUGCUAAUACCGCAUACGAUCUAAGGAUGAAAGCAGGGGACCGCAAGGCCUUGUGCGUUUGGAGCGGCCGAUGGCAGAUUAGGUAGUUGGUGGGGUAAAAGCUUACCAAGCCGACGAUCUGUAGCUGGUCUGAGAGGACGACCAGCCACACUGGGACUGAGACACGGCCCAGACUCCUACGGGAGGCAGCAGUGGGGAAUUUUGGACAAUGGGCGAAAGCCUGAUCCAGCAAUGCCGCGUGCAGGAUGAAGGCCUUCGGGUUGUAAACUGCUUUUGUACGGAACGAAAAGGCUCUGGCUAAUACCUGGGGCACAUGACGGUACCGUAAGAAUAAGCACCGGCUAACUACGUG
rnacentral:rRNA from 1 species